ACUCAAAUGAAUAGACGGGGACCCGCACAAGCGGUGGAGCAUGUGGUUUAAUUCGAAGCAACGCGAAGAACCUUACCAGGUCUUGACAUCUCCUGACCUCCCUAGAGAUAGGGCCUUCCCUUCGGGGACAGGAUGACAGGUGGUGCAUGGUUGUCGUCAGCUCGUGUCGUGAGAUGUUGGGUUAAGUCCCGCAACGAGCGCAACCCUUGUCCUUAGUUGCCAGCAUUCGGUUGGGCACUCUAAGGAGACUGCCGGCUAAAAGUCGGAGGAAGGUGGGGAUGACGUCAAAUCAUCAUGCCCCUUAUGACCUGGGCUACACACGUGCUACAAUGGAUGGUACAAAGGGAAGCGAAGCCGCGAGGUGAAGCCAAUCCCAUAAAGCCAUUCUCAGUUCGGAUUGCAGGCUGCAACUCGCCUGCAUGAAGCCGGAAUCGCUAGUAAUCGUAGAUCAGCAUGCUACGGUGAAUACGUUCCCGGGUCUUGUACACACCGCCCGU
rnacentral:rRNA from 1 species